rnacentral:misc_RNA from 1 species
UCGCAUCUUACGACGGCAGUCUCGUUAGAGUCCUCAGCAUAACCUGUUAGUAACUAACGAUAAGGGUUGCGCUCGUUAUGGCACUUAAGCCGACACCUCACGGCACGAGCUGACGACAACCAUGCAGCACCUUCAUAGCAGCCGUUUGACCGGCUAGUAGAGUUUCCUCAGUAUUCUGCUAUAAUUUAAGCCCGGGUAAGGUUCCUCGCGUAUCAUCGAAUUAAACCACAUGUUCCUCCGCUUGUGCGGGCCCCCGUCAAUUCCUUUGAGUUUCACCGUUGCCGGCGUACUCCCCAGGUGGAAUACUUAAUGCUUUCGCUAGGUCGCUUGCAGUAUAUCGCAAACAACGAGUAUUCAUCGUUUACUGUGUGGACUAC